AACAAGUCUUCUUUUUCUACUCUGAUGUUCAGCAUAAAUUUCAUUGAGCGUCUGACAACAUUCAGUUUGAAACUAUGUGGACGGCACCAACAUAAAUCCAGAUGAGCAGGUCCCGUACUCCAGAGGUCCCAAAUGAUAGCAGGCUGCACUUGUCCCGAACACU